CCUAAUCCCAGUGCUCCCAGUGCUCCCAGUGCUCCCAGUGCCCAAUCCCAGUCCCUCCCAGUGCUCCCAGUGCUCCCAGUGCUCCCAGUGCUCCCAGUGCUCCCAGUGCUCCCAGUGCCCAAUCCCAGUCACUCCCAGUGCUCCCAGUGCUCCCAGUGCUCCCAGUGCCCAAUCCCAGUGCUCCCAGUGCUCCCAGUGCUCCCAGUGCUCCCAGUCACUCCCAGUGCUCCCAGUGCUCCCAGUGCUCCCAGUGCCCAAUCCCAGUGCUCCCAGUGCUCCCAGUGCUCCCAGUGCCCAAUCCCAGUGCUCCCAGUGCUCCCAGUGCUCCCAGUGCCCAAUCCCAGUCACUCCCAGUGUGUCCCCAUGCUCCCAGUGCUCCCAGUGCUCCCAGUUACCGACGAUGCGCAGUCUGAUCUCGGCCGUGUCCUCCAUGCCCUCGAUGCGCACGCUGAUCCCAGUGCUCCCAGUGCUCCCAGUGCUCCCAGUGCUCCCAGUGCUCCCAGUGCUCCCAGUGCUCCCAGUUACCAAUCCCAGUGCUCCCAGUAACCAAUCCCAGUGCUCCCAGUGCUCCCAGUUACCAACCCCAGUGCUCCCAGUGCUCCCAGUGCCCAAUCCCAGUGCUCCCAGUGCUCCCAGUGCUCCCAGUGCUCCCAGUGCUCCCAGUGCCCAAUCCCAGUGCUCCCAGUGCCCAAUCCCAGUGCUCCCAGUGCUCCCAGUGCCCAAUCCCAGUGCUCCCAGUGCUCCCAUCCCUCCCAGUGCUCCCAGUUACCGACGAUGCGCAGUCUGAUCUCGGCCGUGUCCUCCAUGCCCUCGAUGCGCACGCUGAUCCCAGUGCUCCCAGUGCUCCCAGUGCCCAAUCCCAUCACUCCCAGUGCUCCCAGUGCCCAAUCCCAGUGCUCCCAGUGCUCCCAGUGCCCAAUCCCAUCCCUCCCAGUGCUCCCAGUUACCGACGAUGCGCAGUCUGAUCUCAGCCGUGUCCUCCAUGCCCUCGAUGCGCACGCUGAUCCCAGUGCUCCCAGUGCUCCCAGUGCCCAAUCCCAGUGCUCCCAGUGCCCAAUCCCAGUGCUCCCAGUGCUCCCAGUGCCCAAUCCCAGUCA